rnacentral:rRNA from 1 species
AUGUGUAUUCUAGAAAGAAAAAAAGAAUGUGUUGGACAUGAGCGGGUUAAGUGCUACAUUGACAAAGGCAUAACAAUAUGGAGAGGCAACAAUGACGACUCAAGGUGGAAAUACGGCGCUACUGGAGUCAUUUCUGUAGCAACUAACCUCGUCCCUGGUCUCAUGCACAGCCUCAUGUUUGAAGGGGAGAACGCGGCCCUAAACGAGAAGCUACUACCUCUGAUGAAAUGGCUCUUCUGCGAGCAUAACCCGAUUGUUCUCGACACCACCCUGGACCAGCUCGGUGUAGUGCGGCCUGUUUUCAGGUUGCCAUACACUCCCCUCCCUCUUGAGAAGAGGGUUGGGUUUGUCCAGAUUGUCGUAGCCAUCGGGUGGGAGAACUUUGUGGGAGAGAAGGAGGUCCGGGUUCUAGACGACGAUGAUUUCGUGUCGAUCAGCAGGUAUUGA